rnacentral:rRNA from 1 species
UGGUGGAGUGAUUUGUCUGGUUAAUUCCGUUAACGAACGAGACCCCCGCCUGCUAAAUAGUCCCCGGUACGCAUUUGCGUAGCGGCGGCGCUUCUUAGAGGGACUUUCAGUGAUUAACUGAAGGAAGUUGGGGCAAUAACA